UACGGAGGGUGCAAGCGUUAUCCGGAUUUACUGGGUUUAAAGGGUGCGCAGGCGGAUAUGUAAGUCAGUGGGGAAAUCUUUAGGCUUAACCUGAAAAUUGCCGUUGAUACUAUAUAUCUUGAAUGCUGUGGAGGUAAGCGGAAUAUGUCAUGUAGCGGUGAAAUGCUUAGAUAUGACAUAGAACACCUAUUGCGAAGGCAGCUUACUACGCAGAUAUUGACGCUCAUGCACGAAAGCGUGGGGAUCAAACAGG
rnacentral:rRNA from 1 species